AAGAAAAUAUACAAUUUUUUGUUUGUUUGUUUUUUUAAGAAAAAAAUGCAGGGGUUGGCUCUACAAACAUGCAAUUCUAUAGUAUCAAGUUAUGGCAAGAAAAAUUUUUCAUUUUUUCCUACCAAAUCAUUGAUAAUCCACAAGCACAAUUUUGCCUUUAUCAUCAAGUUAUGGGAAGAGAAAGUUUUCAUUUUUGAGUGUGGUGGACUCUUUUCCAAG